AUGAAGCUACUCAUGUACCUCAUAUCAGCUGUUUUCACGCCGACCACUUCUCUUCGCCCAAGCAACAAAUGUUUCCCCAUCCUGGCGAAUCUGAAAAACGUGAAGAGUAUGAACUGGUGUAAGUUCAUUGCCGACUUUCUCCACGAUGCUUUCAAAAACAAGAUGUACCAGAAGGGUUGUCGCCUGCAUUUAAUGCUUAUGUAUGUCGACUGUCUUGAUUUGUCCACCGUGGAUUUUACUGGGGUAGGAGGCCCGCCGCCUACACCAGUUUGCUGUUUCUGCGUGGACCAUCAGCGCUGUCAAGGCUAUGCUUGCUGCAGACAGGGCAACUGA
rnacentral:rRNA from 1 species